GCAGAUCCUACCUAGAAGUUCAGGCCCAGUCAUGCCCUGCCAUGAAGAUCUGCAGGUCCUUUCCUUAAACACCUCCUAGACCCCAUCCAACUCCAUAGUCCAGGACAGCAGGCAGCCCCUCUGACUAGGCACCUUACUGCAAGUCCCAUUCUGCCCUGGGAGACCAACUCCAGGCCUAUCCUGCCUGGCCACUACUGCCUCCAGUCCCUGGACCUUCUCCCCUUGUGGCAUGGGGGUACAGUGUACACAUGCCCCCCAUCCCAAAUCUUAAGGAAACACUAGUGGGUUCGAUCUCAGCAAAUACCAGAGGAGUGGCUGACUGGUGGAGCUGGUUUCUGGGAUCUCAAUGGCCAUCAGGUCUAAAGCCAGCCUUGGGUCUUCGGAGGCAGGGCUCAGCGAAACUGUCAAUUGGGAGACACCCAUUCCUUCCUUCCCACCCACAAGCAAGGGAGCAAGAAGAUAACCGAUUGCUCCUGCUGGCGGGAUUUUUUCAGACCCUGCUGCCUGCCACUAGGUUUGUUUACAUGGGCAGUUUCUCCCCAAGCAAGUCUCUGGGAACCACAACUGGAUGUGACAGUUUGUGGGUCUUCAGGACCCAAUAGCUGCUCCAGGCAAAAACAAAACAAAACAGCGACACGUGCGUCGGGGGACGCAAGCUCCGGGCCCCUGGCGCCCCGAACCGGCUGCGAUGGGGAGGAGCCGGCGCAGAAUGUAAGCGACUGGUGGAGGGAAGAGCUCAGGUGGGUCUGAGGACCACCAAAGUUAGGUCCUUUCAGCAUCUCAGAGGCUGACGUCAGAGUAUCAAUCCUUUUGUGUGCCCUUGAGAGUGAGCCUGUCACCUCGCCAGGCCGACCUAUACCCCCACCCUCCAACACACACAUAGGCGGCCCCCGUGGGCCAAAUGGGCUGACUAGUGGUCCUUGGGCCAGGAUGUUGGUCUCUUACCUGAUGCUCAGACGCUGGCCCAAGGUCUGAUGCUCUUAGCAGCCAGACGCCAGCUUCAGGCCCCUCGGGAGUCACUGGGUUUUUUUUUGGGGGGAUUAGUAUAAGCCAAGCAAAUGCUCUACUAACGUUGGCUGAUUUGGACACAUGGGGUUUACCUUGGCUUUUCUAGCUCUGUGACCUUGGGCAAAUUUCUUAAAUUCUCUGUGCCUCAUUUUCCUUUCCUAGAAAACAGGAGUAACAUCUCUUUCCCCAGGGCUGAAGUCAAGAUUAAAUGCAGUAGCAUCUGUGGAAAGUCUAGCUGGAAUGGGCACACGGGAAGCUCAGUAGUGGAUGCUGUGUUGUUGCUCUCAAGCCAAGAAAGAUAGAAGGAAACUCAUGGAAACUUGUCUCAACCAGAUCCUUAAAUAUUUCAACACCCAAGAUGUAAAAGCAUAAUAAAGAAGGCCCAGAGGAGAAAGGGGAUUUGGAA
rnacentral:lncRNA from 1 species